UACGGAGGGUGCAAGCGUUAUCCGGAUUCACUGGGUUUAAAGGGUGUGUAGGCGGGUCAUUAAGUCAGUGGUGAAAUCUCCGGGCUCAACUUGGAAACUGCCAUUGAUACUAUUGAUCUUGAAUUCUGUUGAGGUGGGCGGAAUAUGUCAUGUAGCGGUGAAAUGCAUAGAUAUGACAUAGAACACCAAUUGCGAAGGCAGCUCGCUAAACAGAUAUUGACGCUGAGGCACGAAAGCGUGGGGAUCAAACAGG
rnacentral:rRNA from 1 species